rnacentral:lncRNA from 1 species
AUGGCAGCAGAGGCCCGGCAUGGCUGGGGAGCUGUGACUGUUGCCGUGGGGCUGCGCAGGUGAUUCUAUCAUUUGUUGAAGAAUCAAUCUAUACACCAUUAAGAAACAGCCUCUCAGCCUCUGCAUCAAUUUGUAGAAAGACUACUCUUCCCACUACCUGCAGCCUUUUGUAACCCAGUGAGAUACAUGUUUAUUCAAACACAAGAUAUCUCAAAUCCUAACAGUUUAAAGUUUAUACCAUGAAAACCAGUUUUUGAGACAAGGCCCAUGGAUUUUCCCACCCCAGCUGCAGCAUUUUGCUCCCCUUUGGCUAGGCAGUUAUUUAGGAUUGAAGGAGUAAAAAGUGUUUUCUUUGGGCCAGAUUUCAUCACUGCCACAAAGGAAAAUGAAAAAUUAGACUGGAAUUUACUGAAACCAGAUAUUUACGCAACAACCACGGACUUCUUUGCAUCUGGUUUACCCCUAGUUACUGAGGAAACAUCUUCAAGGAGAAGCAGGAUGUGAAGAUGAUGAAGUUGUGGCAUUGAUUAAGGAAGUGUUAGAUACUAGAAUGUGGCCAACUGUGCAAGAAGAUGGAGGAGACGUAAUCUACAAAGGUUUUGAAGAUGGUAUCGUAUGACUGAAACUCCAGGGUUCUUGUACCAGCUGCCCUAGUUCAAUCAUUACUCUGAAAAAUGGAAUUCAGAACAUGCUGCAGUUUAUAUUCCAGAGGUAGAAGGUGUAGAACAGGGUAUGGAUGAUGAAUCAGAUGAAAAGGAAGCAAACUCACCUUAA